CCGGAUGUGUCUGUGAUCUGAUUACAUCUGUUUUUUUUUUCUGUUACAAUCAGAAUAUAUAUGUAUACACACACACACACACGCAUGUAGUUGUCAUGUCAUACUAAAGUACUUCCUCCUCUCUCCAGGUGAACAGUGGGACUUGUCUUCAGCUUCAGGUGGAUCAGCUCUGACCUGUAUGGUGAUCAGACCCGGAGAGGAGAGACACCUGGUCUAACAAGGCGAUGGACGGUUGAAAGGACGAAUCACCGAGACGAACAAGACGAGCCAAACAACGGAGACGACGUGUGGGCGGAGGGAACAGUCUGCUGAGGACGAGCUGGACGAUGGUUUCCUGAACUGAAUCCUGAUUUCCUGUAAUCAAGUUUUGUGGACUGACAUGUUGUCUGGCUGGUGCUCGGCCCAGGACAGGAAGGCUCUGCAGCAGGUGAUCCAUCCUUCCACAGAACAUCACUGACAGAGGAGAGGAGGUGAGGUGUCUGCUCAGAGAUCGAAGAAUACUGAAAAAGACUAAAAGAACCAGAAGUAACUGCUGACGUAGCUUCUGCCCCUCAGACUGUGAGACUCUGAAUAUCCUCAACAAUAUAGACUGCUUUGGUUUCUGUCUGUCUGUGAUGAAACAUUAAAUGAGUCAAACUUAA